GUUUCGUGUUGAAUAUGGUAAAUCAUUUCCUGUGUAUAAUUGGUGGCAGUGGCAUUUUAACUGGGGCAUAAGAUUAUUUAACACAAGGAGAUGGUAAAUUUUACAUGAAACAGAACACAAGAAUAGGGUGUUCAAAAAAUUACCUCCUAUUCCAAAGUCGGCGCCGUGGUAAAUUGUAUAUGAUUUUGUACCGAAUAACAUAAUUCUUUUGUUUACACAAGACAUGGGUGUUGAUUAUCAUUAAAAUGUAUUUUUGAUCGGGAAGAACAUAAUUAUAUAUUUUUUUAUGUAUUUCUCUCAAAGUAUGAAAAUUUUAGGU
rnacentral:misc_RNA from 1 species